UCUGUGUUUCUUGUUACACUUAGUUGAAUAAAUAAAAUGAUCUUGAUAUGAAUAUUGUGUAUUUAACUUGUUAUCGGAUGUAAAAAUCUUUUUAAAAAAACCAAUUUAUCAAUGGUGAUGGUGUGUUGGAUUUGGGAGGAAAAUUGUGUUUCUUGUUAGGAUUAUAUAUUUGUGUUAAUACUGUGAAAUACAUGUUUAUGAUAUUUGUAUGAAUACCGUGUUUAUAUAAGUAUCAUCUAUGAAAGAUGAAUUUGUGUUGAUUAUAUUUAGUUAUGUGAAGACAUUUUGUCGGUUUUAUAAUAAGGUAUUGCUUUGUUAUAGAGUGUAGAUGGAAAAUAUAUAUAUAUAUAUAUUGUGGUUUUUUUUUAGAUGUUUUGAUUGUAUAUAUGACACUUUAAUUGUUUUGUAGCUGAGUAAUUACAGGAUUGGUGUUACAAAUGUUUUUCAUGUUGUAUAACAAUUUGAUUGUCUCGCUUUUUGUGUUAUACAAUUUUAAACGUAAAGCUCACUUUUGAUGAUUUAAUUAGAUUUAUUAAGUCCCCAACUGUUUGGUUGUAUUAGUUUGAUUUUGUGAUGAAUCAUACAAAAAGAGUUUGUAAUUAAGUCAAUAAACCUUGAUACUAGUAUACUAAAUCGCGUUAAAAUCAGCAACUUUGUUAUGAAAUACCAAGUCCUGUCGCGUUAAAGGAACUCCUUCAGGUACUUGGAUGUUGGUUGAAAGAUCAGUUGAUGAUCAAAAUUGGGAGAGUUAUACCCCAUUUGUUCGAAGAGUUGAAUUUGGUUUAAAAUUGUGUGUAUCGGUUUCUUUGUCAAUUUCUGAAGCAUACUUAGGAUUGGUGUAUGUGGUGUUAAUUUUGCAGAGCUAUUUUGUUAAUUUUGCAGAGCUAUUUUGUAAAAUUCGAAUUUGUCGAAGAAAGUGCAGAAAUUUACUAACGACUAAUUUGUGCUUUAUUUAUGUACAUGUACUUAACGCUUUUAAUAGGGUAAGAAAUGUUUAAACAUAAGUGAAGCAAUUACUUUUUGUACAUUGUUCUUUUUAAAAUGCGUGUUUUAAUAAAAAUAAUUCUGGAG
rnacentral:misc_RNA from 1 species